GCACUCCUGAAGGUUAGCGGCGGACGGGUGAGUAAACGUAGGCGACCUGCCCUCAAGACUGGGAUAACUACCGUGAAACGGUAGCUAAUACCGGAUAAUUUAUUUCACAGCUAUUGUGGAAAUAAUGAAAGACGGAGCAGUCCUCUCACUUGUGGAUGGGCCUGCGGCGCAUUAUGCUAGUUGGUGGGGUAACGGCCCACCAAGGCCACGAUGCGUAACCGACCUGAGAGGGUGAACGGCCACACUGGAACUGAAACACGGGCCAGACUCCUACAGGAGGCACCAUUAGGGAAUCUUCCCAAUGGGCCAAAGCCUGACGGAUCAACGCCUCGUGAGUGAUGAAGGUUUUCGGAUCGUAAAGCUCUGUUGCCAAGGAAGAACGUCUUCUAGAGUAACUGCUAGGAGAGUGACGGUACUUGAGAAGAAAGCCCCGGCUAACUACGUGCCAGCAUCCGCGGUAAUACGUAGGGGGCAAGCGUUGUCCGGAAUUAUUGGGCGUACAGGGCGCGCAGGCCGUUCUUUGAGUCUGGUGUUUAAACCCGAGGCUCAUCUUCGGGUCACACUGGAAACUGGGGGACUUGAGUGCAGAACAGGAGAGUGGAAUUCCACCUGUAGCGGUGAAAUGCCUAUAUAUAUGGACGAACACCUGUGGCGAAAGCCACUCUCUGGGCUGUAACUGACACUCACGCGCGAAAGCCUGCGGAGCCAACAGGAUCAGAUACCCUGGUAGUCCACGCCGUAUACGAUGAAUGCUAGGUGUUAGGGGUUUCCAUACCCUUGGUGCCGAAGUUAACGCAUUAAGCAUUCCGCCUGGGGAGUACGGUCGCAAGACUGAAACUCAAAGGAAUUGACGGGGACCCGCACAAGCAGUGGAGUAUGUGGUUUAAUUCGAAGCAACGCGAAGAACCUUACCAAGUCUUGACAUCCCUCUGA
rnacentral:rRNA from 1 species